rnacentral:rRNA from 1 species
UAACCUGCCUCAUACAGGGGGAGUAACAGUUAGAAAUGACUGCUAAUACCGCAUAAGCGCACAGAGAUGCAUGUCUCGGUGUGAAAAGCUGAGGCGGUAUGAGAUGGAUCCGCGUCUGAUUAGCUGGUUGGCGGGGUAGAGGCCCACCAAGGCGACGAUCAGUAGCCGACCUGAGAGGGUGGCCGGCCACAUUGGGACUGAGACACGGCCCAAACUCCUACGGAAGGCAGCAG